rnacentral:tRNA from 1 species
GCUCCCAUCGUCUAUCGGCUAGGACAUUUGACUUUCAAUCAAAAAAGUGGGGUUCGAUUCCCCGUGGGAGCACCA